UGACUGUACCCUACAUUAAGGUGUUGGUGUUACAACACAAGUGUACAAUGUGCUGGGGGCAAGGGGACACAGAAAAGAGGCAGUCAAUGGAAGUCCCUAGAAGGGGGGAGAUAAGGUUAGGACAAGCCUUCCCAAGAGUGGAAAAGGAUGAUAGUUGUGUUGGGCCCUGAAAGAUGAAUAGGAUAUUGAUAAGCUGAUAACAAAGGAAGAGGGAAACGUAACAGUUACUGAGAUUCUACAAUUGACCGGGCACUGUGCUAGGGUCUUUUACCAAAGGGCCAUACAGACAGAGGAUGACAUGAGCAAAGUUACGCAGACAUGAGAGUACAUGCCCAAUGCACUUGAAAACCAAGGUGCAAACCAGCAUGGCAGCAUUCAACCAAUAGGUGAAUGGUUCGGUGUGGCAGGAAAUGGGCCUAGAAAGUUAAGGCAGGGCCAGGUCAUAUGUCAUCCUGAACAUCAAGCUAGGGCGUUUGCAAUUAUCCUAUAAUUUGGAAAUAUCCUAUAGACUCUGUUCUAAGGAUGUGGUUCCCAGUGGGGGACCACUAGAGGGUUUUAAGCCAAGAAUAAUCUGCCCAGAUGUAACCUUUAGAAAGAAAUAAUUGGGAGCAGAAUGGAGGAUUGCGGGAGAAAGGCUAGUGGUAUGGCAAACUGCUAGACAGCUAUGAGUAAAGUCCAGGACAAAGAUGAGCCAGCCCUAAAACAGAGUCAAGUGCCAUUUUGAAGCUGUGGGUAGACAUCAUGGCAAGAUGGUAGCAUAACUAUGGGUGGCCAGAUAAAGCCCUCUGUAAUUCCCAUUUAAAUAACUGCAGAAUAUACAAAGACCAUUGCACCACUGUUGAUGAUUGAGAUAAAUAGGCUUACAAUGUCUGAAAAAAAAUGUAGGUCAACCACUAGUAAAAUUAAAAGCAAUGUCUAUUUUCCAAAUCACUGCUGAAAAUAAUAGCAAAUCAUUUCCACACACACAAACACACAAAAGCAUAAUCUACAGGAAACAUAAAAUGCAUAGGGCAUAAAACAAAGUAAUAGGAAUAAAACCAGAUCGAAUGGUUAUGAGGUGAAUGUAACUAGAGAGUCCGUGAGCCUGGAUCAUACACAGCUAUCAUUUGUUGAGUGCAUGCUCUAUGCCAGGUGCUCCUCUGUGUGUUUCAUAAAGACAAAUAUGGCAAUGGGAGGAUGAGAUGGGAUGCUUCCAGUCUAGGAUCCACUUGGGGCUCCAAAUGAACAGAUACCACAUUCCAAAGUGAAGUGGGAUACACCUCUUGGAAAAGAGGUGGCGAAAACCUGGGUCCAUGCCAUUAGCUGACACCCAUCUCUAAUGCAUACAAAAUGGGAGAGAGGUUGAAAAAAGGUUGUUGGAGGUUUAGAAUGAAUUUCAGAGACAGCCUUUGGGGUCCAGUGAUCCCAAAUAAAUGGGAGGGGUACAGGGUGCUAUCACCUUCACCUCAAAGCCAGACAGUGGGGCCUUGAGGAGACCCCUAAGUCAGUUGAUAUGUGGCCAAAAUGGUCUUGGUGCCACAGUGGAGAAAUCCAAAGAGCAGCAAGAGUGCUGCUGCUUCAGGACCAGCCUGUGCUCCCUGGUUUGCAGGGCAAAGCACACAUGAGUGUCUCUUGUGGACAGAGGUAGCACCCAGCAAGAGAGCCAGAUGUGACUGUCUUAGAUCCAGGACAAGAGGGCUCCUCCAAGGGAGGAGGUGACACUGAGGGAGACCAGGUUUCCCAGAGCCUGAGAAAGAAACCAUAGGAUCGGCUACGGGGAGAAAGUAUCACCCUCAUCAAGGGAGGUGCAGGGUGAGACUCCAGCGAUGGGGUGGUCUCCACCAACCCACAAAAACAGCCCAGUGAGAGAAAGGGCCCAGAGAACAACGGGACAGCAACUCAUCAGAGUACAGUCGUUGAAGACCUUUCCCAACCAUCUCCUCUCCUACCUACCUGCCCCUCCACCUUGGACCCUGGAAAGGGUCAGGACUGUCAUGUGCAAGGUCCCCACAGGCAGCUGGCCUACAGCAGACCGUGCUGGGAAAGAGAUGGUGUAACUCUGACGUUUCAAGAUUUUUUUUUUUAUUACAGCAGACAGGAUGCAUUAAUUACUGACAAGACAACCUCUGGUUACCUGAAAAUGGUCAGAAAAGUCAUGGGACUUACCCUAAAUUUAAUAUAAUUUUAGAAGGGAAAACAGCCCUAUAGAAUAAAUUUAAAGAGACUGUGGGAGACAAAAAUAAAGUUUGCUUUAUGAUUACA
rnacentral:lncRNA from 10 species